rfam:Nadsonia fulvescens var. elongata DSM 6958 unplaced genomic scaffold NADFTscaffold_1, whole genome shotgun sequence.
GGGCGUUUAGUGUAGUUGGUUAUCACGCAUGAUUUGCAUUCAUGAGGUCUCUGGUUCGACUCCGGAAUCGUCCA